rnacentral:rRNA from 1 species
CUGGAUUCGCUAGUAAUCGCGCAUCAGCCAUGGCGCGGUGAAUACGUUCCCGGGCCUUGUACACACCGCCCGUCAAGCCAUGGAAGCCGGGGGCGCUUGAAGUGCGUUGCCGCAAGGCGCGCCCUAGAGCGAAACCGGUGACUGGGGCUAAGUCGUAACAAGGUACC